CGAAAGCGUGGGGAGCGAACAGGAUUAGAUACCCUGGUAGUCCACGCCGUAAACGAUGAGUGCUAAGUGUUGGAGGGUUUCCGCCCUUCAGUGCUGCAGCAAACGCAUUAAGCACUCCGCCUGGGGGGUACGACCGCAAGGUUGAAACUCAAAGGAAUUGACGGGGGCCCGCACAAGCGGUGGAGCAUGUGGUUUAAUUCGAAGCAACGCGAAGAACCUUACCAGGUCUUGACAUCCUUUGACCACUCUAGAGAUAGAGCUUCCCCUUCGGGGGCAAAGUGACAGGUGGUGCAUGGUUGUCGUCAGCUCGUGUCGUGAGAUGUUGGGUUAAGUCCCGCAACGAGCGCAACCCUUAUUGUUAGUUGCCAUCAUUUAGUUGGGCACUCUAGCGAGACUGCCGGUGACAAACCGGAGGAAGGUGGGGAUGACGUCAAAUCAUCAUGCCCCUUAUGACCUGGGCUACACACGUGCUACAAUGGGAAGUACAACGAGUUGCGAAGUCGCGAGGCUAAGCUAAUCUCUUAAAGCUUCUCUCAGUUCGGAUUGUAGGCUGCAACUCGCCUACAUGAAGCCGGAAUCGCUAGUAAUCGCGGAUCAGCACGCCGCGGUGAAUACGUUCCCGGGCCUUGUACACAC
rnacentral:rRNA from 1 species